UUUGGCAUGGAGGUAGGUCU
rnacentral:miRNA from 1 species